UACCUUUAAGAAUUUCAUUUUUAAAUUCAAACAACGGACCAGCUCUUAUCCCACAGAUGUCAAUUGAUUAAGACUCGCGGAUGCUAAGAACUUGUCUGAGAUUUAAUUCAGCGAGAAAAGGAGUGGAGACCAACAAAAACCAACAGGACUUCAGUGAAACGAGUAAACGUAUCGUCGAGCGACGUCGGACGACUGAUAGGGUGUAACCUAUCUACGAGACAGCUUGACAUAUUGUACGUUAGUUGAGACAACAAUCUGUGCAACAUCAGCCAAGUGAUAAAGUGCAGUUGAUAUUAACUAAUCAUAGGUGCUGGUUGAAGUACAGAAAUUUAUUAACCAAUCAAGGAAAUUAUCUGGAUAAAUGGUGGUUACUCCACCCUGGGUUGACUCCCAACAUCCCAACCGACUCCUUCGAAACUCAACCGUCUCGUUUCUGCCCGGUUAUAACUAAUGACGAUCUGGCUAAUUACCCCUGCUAAUUCGAAUCAAACCGACACACAUACGAGUGAUUUAAU